rnacentral:rRNA from 1 species
AACGAACGCUGGCGGCAGGCUUAACACAUGCAAGUCGAACGCCCCGCAAGGGGAGUGGCAGACGGGUGAGUAACGCGUGGGAACAUACCCUUUUCUACGGAAUAGCUCUGGGAAACUGGAAUUAAUACCGUAUACGCCCUACGGGGAAAGAUUUAUCGGGGAAGGAUUGGCCCGCGUUGGAUUAGCUAGUUGGUGGGGUAAAGGCCUACCAAGGCGACGAUCCAUAGCUGGUCUGAGAGGAUGAUCAGCCACAUUGGGACUGAGACACGGCCCAAACUCCUACGGGAGGCAGCAGUGGGGAAUAUUGGACAAUGGGCGCAAGCCUGAUCCAGCCAUGCCGCGUGAGUGAUGAAGGCCUUAGGGUUGUAAAGCUCUUUCACCGAUGAAGAUAAUGACGGUAGUCGGAGAAGAAGCCCCGGCUAACUUCGUG